rnacentral:rRNA from 1 species
UACGGAGGGUGCGAGCGUUAAUCGGAAUUACUGGGCGUAAAGCGUGCGCAGGCGGUUUGUUAAGCGAGAUGUGAAAGCCCCGGGCUCAACCUGGGAACCGCAUUUCGAACUGGCAAACUAGAGUCUUGUAGAGGGGGGUAGAAUUCCAGGUGUAGCGGUGAAAUGCGUAGAUAUGUGGAGGAAUACCGAUGGCGAAGGCAGCCCCCUGGGUCGAUACUGACGCUCAUGCACGAAAGCGUGGGGAGCAAACAGG